CCACCAAUUGAUUCUACCCGGACCGUAAUCAACGUUGCUCUUUAAACAGGCAUGGAGUCAAAACGAACUCCACAAAAAAUAGCAUUGUAAAAUACACAUAAUUUAGGCCGGCAUUGGUUGCCUACUGUUAAACCAGUACCAGAGACUCAUCGCCAAAAUCCCAAACGCAACAAUGGCGUGUCGUACCGUAUGUCAACUUCUCCAGCACCGGUUGGCGUCCAGUGCUGCGUCUGUGCGUCCCUCGGCUGCGGAGGUACGUGGUCAGCGCAGCGUCGUGUUUUCCCGGGAGCAGGCUCGCCAGCGCGCCCUGUACCCGCGCACGGAAAAGAUCGAGGUGACCCUGCAAAUACCCGGUCUGCAGGGCACCCUGCUUGUCAUGAACAAGGGAGUGUCCACACCACACAGCUGUGCACGCCACUUGAAAGAGUGGUAUGUAACCAGCUCUGCCCUGGCCUUAGUAGACGGAAAGCCCUGGCCCCUGCAUCAGCCCCUCACCCAAUCCUGCUCCCUCUCCCUGCUCACCUUCAAAGACACAGACCCACUGCUGGUCAACCAGGCAUACUGGCGGUCGUGUGCAGCCCUCCUGGGCCAGGUCCUUCAGGAUGCCUUUAAAGAGGACUUCUCUGUGGAGCUGCUCAGAGUCCCAGAGGUGUCAGUAACUUCAGGAGCAUUCUGUUGUGAUGUGGUGCUGGAUCCUCAGUUAGACGCCUGGAGCCCUUCAGAGGAGUCCCUGCGCUCUCUGACACGUGGUGCUCAGCAGCUGAUCCAUCAGGACCUGCCCUGGGAGCCUCUGGAGGUAGCGCCCCCAGUGGCCCUGGAGGUCUUCUCUCACAGCAGGUGUAAGCAGGAGGAAGUGGAGGAGAAGUCAGCACAAAGUCCUAAAGGCACAGUGAUGCUCUACAGGUGUGGGGACCAUGUUCUGUUGAGUGGGGGCCCCUUGGUGGCCAGGACAGGGCUGUGCUCUCAGUACGAGGUCACCGCCAUCCACCCUCUAGGAGAGGACGAGUGGGGUCUCCACCGCCGGGCCCAGGGGCUCUCACUGCCCCUCCAGCUACAGGCCCACCACACUGUGUGGAGGAAACUGAGGAGCAGGGCAGAGAAGCUGAAUCACCUGGCUGGCAUUUUUACAGCAUGUAGCAGUGCUACUGGAAAUCGAUGGAGACAGCUAGCGGUGCAUUCAAAAGCAUUACAAAUGUUGUGAGGAUCAGGUUACGCUUCCACAUUAUUUUGAAUGGUUUGGAUGAAACAACAGCACCGUAAGUUGAGGUGCCCACAGGAUCAGUCAAUGAAACUGUUUCAGAUACAUUGACUCCGCCCUCUGCCCCUAAACAGACUCCUCCCCCUACCCCCC